CACAGUUUCUAGAUCUUGAUAAAACGACCACUCUCCACUUUCACCACUUUUCCUUUCUUGAGUUUUAUUGCUGAGUUGACAAUUUACUGCAUAUUUAUUUGAUUUAGGUAUGUAGUUGUAACCCACACAUGUUGAUUUCUGAAGACAUUUCAAGGAACAUUCAAGUUGAGAAUGAACAGCAUGACUGGAUAUAAUAUCUUCUGGUGCCAGUGGAUCGCCUGUUUAAAAAAAAUAACGUAGAUAUUGGUGUACAAUUGCAAUACAAGUGUACUUAGAG